rnacentral:tRNA from 1 species
GGGGGUAUAGCUCAGUUGUACAGCAUUCGACUGCAGAUCGAGAGCUCCCCGGUUCCAACCCGGGUGUCCUCU